rnacentral:rRNA from 1 species
UAGGGAAUCUUCCACAAUGGGCGAAAGCCUGAUGGAGCAAUGCCGCGUGAAUGAAGAAGGCCUUCGGAUCGUAAAGUUCUGUUAUUAGAGAAGAACAAGUCAAGGAGUAACUGUCUUGACUUUGACGGUACCUAACCAGAAAGUCACGGCUAACUACGUGCCAGCAGCCGCGGUAAUACGUAGGUGACAAGCGUUGUCCGGAAUUAUUGGGCGUAAAGGGAGCGCAGGCGGUUGGAAUAGUCUGAUGUGAGAGCCCACGGCUUAACCGUGGAAUUGCAUUGGAAACUGNCCAACUUGAAUGCAGAAGAGGAAAGCGGAAUUCCAUGUGUAGCGGUGAAAUGCGUAGAUAUAUGGAGGAACACCAGUGGCGAAGGCGGCUUUCUGGUCUGUGAUUGACGCUGAGGCUCGGAAGCGUGGGGAGCGAACAGGAUUAGAUACCCUGGUAGUCCAUGCCGUAAACGAUGAGUGCUAAGUGUCGGGGGGCUUCCGCCCCUCGGGUCCGGAGUUUAACGUAUUAAGCACUCCGCCUGGGGAGUACGACCGCAGGUUGAAACUUAAAUGAAUUGACGGGGGUCAUAGCUGUUUCCUG